ACGAUAAGAGUCACUCGGGCUAGCCAAGGAGACCACCUGUGAUAUACCCACACACCAAGGCUAAGCUAAGCCUUGAUGAGAGGAAGAAUCCACAGGCAAGUCAUCCUUGGCUAUCAGAGAUCAAAACUCUUAUCA
rfam:Triticum urartu cultivar G1812 contig413984, whole genome shotgun sequence.